rnacentral:tRNA from 1 species
GUUGAAACUACCAACAUCUUCUGAAUGCAACUCAGACACUUUAAUUAAGCUAGGACUUC